rnacentral:rRNA from 1 species
GUGCCAGCCGCCGCGGUAAUACGGAGGGUGCAAGCGUUGUCCGGAUUUAUUGGGUUUAAAGGGUGCGUAGGCGGCUUUUUAAGUCAGUGGUGAAAGCCUGGAGCUCAACUCCAGAACUGCCAUUGAUACUGAAGAGCUUGAGUACAGACGAGGUAGGCGGAAUUUAUGGUGUAGCGGUGAAAUGCAUAGAUACCAUAAGGAACACCGAUUGCGAAGGCAGCUUACUAGACUGUAACUGACGCUCAGGCACGAAAGCGGGGGGAGCAAACAGGAUUAGAUACCCGUGUAGUCC